UACGUAGGGGGCAAGCGUUGUCCGGAAUUAUUGGGCGUAAAGCGCACGUAGGCGGCCUUGCAAGUCCCAUGUGAAAGCCCACGGCUUAACCGUGGAAGUGCAUGGGAAACUGCAGUGCUUGAGUACUUAAGAGGAUCGCGGAAUUCCCGGUGUAGAGGUGAAAUUCGUAGAUAUCGGGAGGAACACCAGUGGCGAAGGCGGCGAUCUGGGAAGAUACUGACGCUGAGGUGCGAAAGCGUGGGGAGCAAACAGG
rnacentral:rRNA from 1 species